UCUUCUGAAGUGAUGAUUCACAUUCAUGUCUCUUCUCUGAUAAAUCUUGAGGGAACUUCUGUGUGUCUCAGCAGGCAA
rnacentral:snoRNA from 1 species